rnacentral:rRNA from 1 species
CAGAGUGAACGCUGGCGGCGUGCUUAACACAUGCAAGUCGAACGAGAACGGAUUAUAGCUUGCUAUAAUUGUCAGCUAAGUGGCGCACGGGUGAGUAAUGUAUAGGUAAUAUGCCUCUUACUAAGGGAUAACAAUUGGAAACGAUUGCUAAUACCUUAUAUUCCUUUUUAUCAAAAGAUAAAAAGGGAAAGAUUUAUUGGUAAGAGAUUAGCCUGUAUUGUAUCAGUUAGUUGGUGGGGUAAUGGCCUACCAAGACGAUGACGCAUAACUGGUUUGAGAGGAUGAUCAGUCACACUGGAACUGAGACACGGUCCAGAC